UACGAAGGGGGCUAGCGUUGCUCGGAAUCACUGGGCGUAAAGCGCACGUAGGCGGCCUUUUAAGUCAGGGGUGAAAUCCUGGAGCUCAACUCCAGAACUGCCUUUGAUACUGAGAAGCUUGAGUCCGGGAGAGGUAAGUGGAACUGCAAGUGUAGAGGUGAAAUUCGUAGAUAUUCGCAAGAACACCAGUGGCGAAGGCGGCUCACUGGCCCGGUACUGACGCUGAGGUGCGAAAGCGUGGGGAGCAAACAGG
rnacentral:rRNA from 1 species